UACGUAGGGGGCAAGCGUUGUCCGGAAUCAUUGGGCGUAAAGAGCGUGUAGGCGGAUCGUUAAGUACCUUGUGAAAUCCCACGGCUCAACCGUGGAACUGCUCGGUAUACUGGCGGUCUUGAGCCACCUAGGGGCAACUGGAACAAGCGGUGGAGCGGUGAAAUGCGUAGAUAUCGCUUGGAACGCCAACGGUGAAAACAGGUUGCUGGGGGUGUGCUGACGCUGAGACACGAAAGCCAGGGGAGCGAACGGG
rnacentral:rRNA from 1 species